UGCGGGAUGGAGCAGUCUGGUAGCUUGUUAGGCUCAUAACCUAAAGGUCGUUGGUUCAAAUCCAGCUCCCGCAUCUA
rnacentral:tRNA from 1 species